rnacentral:rRNA from 1 species
AGAGUUUGAUCAUGGCUCAGAACGAACGCUGGCGGUAUGCUUAACACAUGCAAGUCGAACGUGAAAACCUCUUCGGGGGUGAGUAAAGUGGCGCACGGGUGAGUAAAACAUAGAUAACCUGCCUUUUAGCUUGGGAUAACUUCCUGAAAGGGGAGCUAAGACCAGAUAAAAUAAGGAAGCUAGUGCUACCUUAUUGAAAGAUUUAUCACUAAAAGAUGGGUCUGUGUGGCAUUAGUUUGUUGGUGGGGUAAUGGCCUACCAAGACUACGAUGCCUAGCGGGUCUGAGAGGAUGAUCCGCCACACUGGAACUGAGACACGGUCCAGACUCCUGCGGGAGGCAGCAGUGGGGAAUCUUGCGCAAUGGGCGCAAGCUUGACGCAGCAAUACCGCGUGAGUGAAGAAGGCCUUCGGGUCGUAAAGCUCUUUAUGUAAGCGAAGAUAAUGACGUUAGCUUACGAAUAAGCACCGGCUAACUCCGUGCCAGCAGCCGCGGUAAUACGGAGGGUGCGAGCGUUGUUCGGAAUUACUGGGCGUAAAGGGCAUGUAGGCGGNUUUAAAAAGCCAAGGGUGAAAUCCCAGAGCUCAACUCUGGAACUGCUUUUGGAACUGUUAGACUAGAGAUAGUCAGAGGCAAGUGGAAUUCCUGGUGUAGAAGUGAAAUUCGUAGAUAUCAGGAGGAACACCAGCGGCGAAGGCGGCUUGCUGGGGCUAUUCUGACGCUGAGAUGCGAAAGCGUAGGUAGCAAACAGGAUUAGAUACCCUGGUAGUCUACGCCCUAAACAAUGAGUGCCAGCUGUAUGUGGUUUCGACACCACAUGUGGUGCAGCUAACGCAAUGAGCACUCCGCCUGGGAAGUAUGGUCGCAAGGCUAAAACUCAAAGGAAUUGACGGGGACCCGCACAAGCGGUGGNAACAUGUGGUUUAAUUCGAAGCAACGCGAAGAACCUUACCUGGGUUUGACAUCCUCGGAAAGCGAUAGAGAUAUUGUUUCCCCUUCGGGGGUCGAGUGACAGGUGCUGCAUGGCUGUCGUCAGCUCGUGUCGUGAGAUGUUGGGUUAAGUCCCGCAACGAGCGCAACCCCUACCCUUAAUUGCCAGCGGUUCGGCCGGGGACUUUGAGGGGACUGCCGGUGUCAAGCCGGAGGAAGGUGGGGAUGACGUCAAGUCCUCAUGGCCCUUAUGUCCAGGGCUACACACGUGUUACAAUGGCAAGUACAAAGGGUUGCUUUGUCGCAAGAUAUGGCUAAUCCUCAAAAUUUGUCUCAGUUCGGAUUGUAGUCUGCAACUCGACUACAUGAAGCUGGAAUCGCUAGUGAUCGCAGAUCAGCAUGCUGCGGUGAAUUCGUUCCCGGGUCUUGUACACACCGCCCGUCACACCAUGGAAGUUGACUUCAGCAGAAGACACAGAUCUAACCUACGGGAAGCAUGUGUCCAAGUUGAUGUUAAUGACUGGGGUGAAGUCGUAACAAGGUAAC